AAUAAGUAGACACACGUGAAUAUACAAUAACUUAUCCUAUGUACUCAAGUCAUUGAGCCAUUGGAUCUACACACAAUCAGAAUCACUUAAAAGUAUGGGGCAUUUCUUUUAUGUCUGUGGAAAAAAUAAUCUUUAUUUCCCCCAGCAAUGAGUUUGUAAACUGGCUAUGGCAACUUUCCCAUUCCAAAUCAACAUGAUUUGUUAAGAUGAGAGGAAAGGAAUUUCUGUUGAGAAAAGGCAGACAUUCCAGUUUUUGAUAAGUUAUAUUUUAUUGCAAGAACAGAUUUAGUCCAGUGAGAUCAAAAUCACAUACUUCUAAAGUAACACAUGGAUCAGAAAUUCUGCAAUGUUCAUGUCUGGUUUUUUUUCCUUUUUUUUUUCUCCUUAUUCACAAAACCUGAUGGACGGGGAACCAGGUCUUGAAGUUCCAUUAAAACUAACCCUGGUGCAAUUGGCCAAAACUGAAAGAAUCUGCAAUAAAAGAUGCAAUCUAUUCCAGUUACAGUAACCUGCAGCAAAUAUUUAAUAAUUCACAACUGUGGAGGCAUUGAAUCUAUACCUGGACCAUUCACAUUCUGGAAACACACAAUAAACUUCAGUGUCAAGGA